rnacentral:misc_RNA from 1 species
AGAGCUGCCUUCAACAGCAGC